rnacentral:rRNA from 1 species
AGAAGCAGCCAUCAUUUAAAGAAAGCGUAAUAGCUCACUGGUCGAGUCGGCCUGCGCGGAAGAUGUAACGGGGCUAAACCAUGCACCGAAGCUGCGGCAGCGACACUGUGUGUUGUUGGGUAGGGGAGCGUUCUGUAAGCCUGCGAAGGUGGCCUGUGAGGGUUGCUGGAGGUAUCAGAAGUGCGAAUGCUGACAUAAGUAACGAUAAAGCGGGUGAAAAGCCCGCUCGCCGGAAGACCAAGGGUUCCUGUCCAACGUUAAUCGGGGCAGGGUGAGUCGACCCCUAAGGCGAGGCCGAAAGGCGUAGUCGAUGGGAAACGGGUUAAUAUUCCCGUACUUGGUGUUACUGCGAAGGGGGGACGGAGAAGGCUAUGUUGGCCGGGCGACGGUUGUCCCGGUUUAAGCGUGUAGGUGUGUGUUCCAGGUAAAUCCGGUUCACUUUAACACUGAGGCGUGACGACGAGGCACUACGGUGCUGAAGCAACAAAUGCCCUGCUUCCAGGAAAAGCCUCUAAGCAUCAGGUAACAUCAAAUCGUACCCCAAACCGACACAGGUGGUCA